rnacentral:rRNA from 1 species
CCCUAGAGGAGCCUGUUCCAUAAUCGAUAAACCCCGAUCCACCUCACCCUCUCUUGCUUAGCCUAUAUACCGCCAUCUUCAGCAAACCCUGAUAAAGGUUACAAAGUGAGCACAAACGCCCUACCGCCGCAAAAACGUUAGGUCAAGGUGUAGCCCAUGAGAGGGUAAAAAUGGGCUACAUUUUCUAUAUCAGAAAACUCCACGAAAACUCUUAUGAAACCUGAGAGUCCAAGGAGGAUUUAGCAGUAAAUUAAGAAUAGAGUGCUUAAUUGAACCAGGCCAUAAAGCGCGCACACACCGCCCGUCACUCCCCUCAAAUAUAUUUAAGGAACAUCUUAACUAAACGCCCUAAUAUUUAUAUAGAGGGGAUAAGUCGUAACAUGGUAAGUGUACUGGAAGGUGCACUUGGAU